rnacentral:rRNA from 1 species
AACGAACGCUGGCGGCAUGCCUAACACAUGCAAGUCGAACGAGACCUUCGGGUCUAGUUGCGCACGGGUGCGUAACGCGUGGGAACCUGCCCUUAGGCUCGGAAUAACUCCCCGAAAUGGGUGCUAAUACCGGAUAAUGUCUUCUGACCAAAGAUUUAUCGCCUUUGGAUGGGCCCGCGUUGGUUUAGCUAGUUGGUAGGGUAAAAGCCUACCAAGGCGACGAUCCAUAGCUGGUCUGAGAGGAUGAUCAGCCACACUGGGACUGAGACACGGCCCAGACUCCUACGGGAGGCAGCAGUGGGGAAUAUAGGACAAUGGGCGAGAGCCUGAUCCAGCAAUGCCGCGUGAGUGAUGAAGGCCUGAGGGUUGUAAAGCUCUUUUACCCGGGAUGAUAAUGACAGUACCGGGAGAAUAAGCUCCGGCUAACUCCGUG